GAUUGAACGCUGGCGGCAGGCCUAACACCUGCAAGUCGAGCGGAUGAAGGGAGCUUGCUCCUGGAUUCAGCGGCGGACGGGUGAGUAAUGCCUAGGAAUCUGCCUGGUAGUGGGGGAUAACGUCCGGAAACGGGCGCUAAUACCGCAUACGUCCUGAGGGAGAAAGUGGGGGAUCUUCGGACCUCACGCUAUCAGAUGAGCCUAGGUCGGAUUAGCUAGUUGGUGGGGUAAAGGCCUACCAAGGCGACGAUCCGUAACUGGUCUGAGAGGAUGAUCAGUCACACUGGAACUGAGACACGGUCCAGACUCCUACGGGAGGCAGCAGUGGGGAAUAUUGGACAAUGGGCGAAAGCCUGAUCCAGCCAUGCCGCGUGUGUGAAGAAGGUCUUCGGAUUGUAAAGCACUUUAAGUUGGGAGGAAGGGCAGUAAGUUAAUACCUUGCUGUUUUGACGUUACCAACAGAAUAAGCACCGGCUAACUUCGUG
rnacentral:rRNA from 1 species